GACCGAUGAAGACAAGAAGACCGG
rnacentral:siRNA from 1 species